UCCCCGUUGGUCUAGUGGCUAUGAUUUCCGCUUGUCAUCGCAAGAUUGCAAAGCGCGGGAGACCAGUAAGUUAACUUUGCCAUGAUGAAGCUCUAGAAUAUCGUGCUCAUUAUUCCUAGGGGUUCGAUUCCCUGACGAGGAG